rnacentral:rRNA from 1 species
AGAUGAGAAUGUGCCUUCGGGAACCGUGAGACAGGUGCUGCAUGGCUGUCGUCAGCUCGUGUUGUGAAAUGUUGGGUUAAGUCCCGCAACGAGCGCAACCCUUAUCCUUUGUUGCCAGCGGUCCGGCCGGGAACUCAAAGGAGACUGCCAGUGAUAAACUGGAGGAAGGUGGGGAUGACGUCAAGUCAUCAUGGCCCUUACGACCAGGGCUACACACGUGCUACAAUGGCGCAUACAAAGAGAAGCGACCUCGCGAGAGCAAGCGGACCUCAUAAAGUGCGUCGUAGUCCGGAUUGGAGUCUGCAACUCGACUCCAUGAAGUCGGAAUCGCUAGUAAUCGUGGAUCAGAAUGCCACGGUGAAUACGUUCCCGGGCCUUGUACACACCGCCCGUCACACCAUGGGAGUGGGUUGCAAAAGAAGUAGGUAGCUUAACCUUCGGGAGGGCGCUUACCACUUUGUGAUUCAUGACUGGGGUGAAGUCGUAACAAGGUAACCGUAGGGGAACCUGCGGUUGGA